rnacentral:rRNA from 1 species
UACGGGAGGCAGCAGUGGGGAAUAUUGCACAAUGGGCGAAAGCCUGAUGCAGCUAUGCCGCGUGUAUGAAGAAGGCCUUAGGGUUGUAAAGUACUUUCAUCGGGGAGGAAAAACAAAACUAAUAAUUUUAUUUCUUGACGUUACCCGAAAAAGAAGCACCGGCUAACUCCGUGCCAGCAGCCGCGGUAAUACGGAGGGUGCUAGCGUUAAUCAGAAUUACUGGGCGUAAAGAGCACGUAGGUGGUUUUUUUAAAGUCAGAUGUGAAAUCCCUGGGCUUAACCUAGGAACUGCAUUUUGAAACUGAAAUACUAGAGUAUCGUAGAGGGAGGUAGAAUUCUAGGUGUAGCGGUGAGAUGCGUAGAUAUCUGGAGGAAUACCUGUGGCGAAAGCGGCCUCCUAAACGAAUACUGACACUGAGGUGCGAAAGCGUGGGGAGCAAACAGGGAUUAGAUACC